AUGUUAAAAAUGAUGACCCAAGUUUUUGUACAUCAAUUUUUAUCAGAAAAUCUAAGUAAUUGCUGUUCAGUUUGGACAAGCAUUCGUUUAAUAGAAUUUGUAUACUUUGUAACCAAGUUUUUAAAUUCAGCUAUUUUCGCAGAUAGCAGCUUAGAGACAAAACAGGCUACAAGUCUGAAGGAAGGCGGAGGAUCCCUCCCCCCUUCUCCCUGUCUUUUGUUAGCCACAGUCCAUGGAGAGCUGCUGAAAAAAGGCCCUCGUGGUAUAAGGCUCUUGCCGAGUUAGUUCUUCAAGCAAUCAUUCCUUUGGCUUGGUCAACUCUUUAACUCUAUUGGC
rnacentral:lncRNA from 1 species